AUGAAAUUUGAAACGAGUAAUACAACUUUCAGCAACGGAUCUCUUGGCUCUCGCGAAUUGCAGAUUUCCGUGAAUCAUCGAAUCUUUGAACGCACCUUGCGCUCCUUGGUAUUCCGAGGAGCAUGCCUGUUUGAGUGUCAUCGA
rnacentral:rRNA from 1 species